CACAAUAAAAUAUGAAGGCUGUACGCGGCUGUGCUCUCGGGCCAGUUUUGCGGAGGCUGAAUUAUUUAUUACCCUUGUCUUUUGCGCACUUGUUGUUUCCUGGGCGGGUUCGCCCGCCACCAGGACCACAUCAUAAACCUUUUUUAUGCAGUUGCAAUCAGCGUCAGUAUAACAAAUGUAAAUCAUUUA
rnacentral:misc_RNA from 2 species